UAUAAAUUGGUGGAUGAGAGCAUCAAACACCAAUAAAGAGGAAACAAUUCAAAAAAGCAGGAGAAAAACGAAUCGGAAUAUCGUCCUCCUCACUUUGUGUCGAUGCUCCGUGUUUGUUUUUCUCGCCACCUACCGGUGAAAAAACUCUUUCCCCCUCUCUCAGGGUAGAUCAUGUGUUCGAAACUAAAAAGAGCACACCACGGCUCC
ensembl:ncRNA B0024.18 ncRNA